AGGACGAACGCUGGCGGCGUGCCUAAUACAUGCAAGUGGAACGCUUGAGUAAUAGGGUAGCUUGCUACAGAUUAUUCAAGAGUCGCGAACGGGUGAGUAACGCGUAGGUAACCUGCCUACUAGCGGGGGAUAACUAUUGGAAACGAUAGCUAAUACCGCAUAAGAUUAGAGGACACAUGUUUUCUAAUUAAAAGAAGCAAAUGCUUCACUAGUAGAUGGACCUGCGUUGUAUUAGCUAGUUGGUAAGGUAAAAGCUUACCAAGGCAACGAUACAUAGCCGACCUGAGAGGGUGAUCGGCCACACUGGGACUGAGACACGGCCCAGACUCCUACGGGAGGCAGCAGUAGGGAAUCUUCGGCAAUGGGGGGAACCCUGACCGAGCAACGCCGCGUGAGUGAAGAAGGUUUUCGGAUCGUAAAGCUCUGUUAUAAGCGAAGAACAGGAGUAAGAGU
rnacentral:rRNA from 1 species